GCCGGGCAUGGUGGCAUAUGCCUGUAAUCCCAGCAGCGCAGGAGGCUGAGGCAAGAGGAUCGCGAGUUCAAAGCCAGUCAGCAAAAGCGAGGCAUUAAGCAACUCAGUGAGACUCUGUCUCUA
rnacentral:sRNA from 1 species